rnacentral:misc_RNA from 1 species
AACGCAUAUUGCACUCUCUGGUAUUCCGGAGAGUAUGCUUGUUUGAGUAUCUGUAAACAUCUCAAAUCUCUCAGCGCUUGUCGUUUGGGAGAAUUGGAUUUGAGCGAUCCCGACUCCUUCGUCAGAAAGAGGAGGGUCGCUUGAAAUGCAGGUGCAGCUGGACAUUCUUCUGAGCUAAAAGCAUAUCUAUUUAGUCCCGUCAAACGGAUUAUUACUUUUGCUUCAGCUAAUAUAAAGGUCGAAUGAACUACCAACGCUGAUUGCAGGAAAACUCGUUUGUAACAGAACUUGUGAACUCGAUCUCAAAUCAAGUAAGACUACCCGCUGAACUUAA